CGCGGCCUAUCAGCUUGUUGGUGAGGUAACGGCUCACCAAGGCAUCGACGGGUAGCUGGUCUGAGAGGAUGAUCAGCCACACUGGAACUGAGACACGGUCCAGACUCCUACGGGAGGCAGCAGUGGGGAAUAUUGCACAAUGGGCGAAAGCCUGAUGCAGCAACGCCGCGUGCGGGAAGAAGGCCCUAGGGUUGUAAACCGCUUUCAGCAGGGAAGAAACUGACGGUACCUGCAGAAGAAGGUGCGGCCAACUACGUGCCAGCAGCCGCGGUGACACGUAGGCACCAAGCGUUGUCCGGAUUUAUUGGGCGUAAAGAGCUCGUAGGCGGUUCAGUAAGUCGGGUGUGAAAACUCUGGGCUCAACCCAGAGAGGCCACCCGAUACUGCUGUGACUUGAGUACGGUAGGGGAGCGGGGAAUUCCUGGUGUAGCGGUGAAAUGCGCAGAUAUCAGGAGGAACACCAGUGGCGAAGGCGCCGCUCUGGGCCGUAACUGACGCUGAGGAGCGAAAGCAUGGGUAGCAAACAGGAUUAGAUACCCUGGUAGUCCAUGCCGUAAACGUUGGGCACUAGGUGUGGGUCUCAACCAACGAGAUCCGCGCCGUCGCUAACGCAUUAAGUGCCCCGCCUGGGGAGUACGG
rnacentral:rRNA from 1 species